ensembl:rRNA 5S_rRNA 5S ribosomal RNA
GCCGGCAGCUAGCUCUCUGCAACUCUUACAUGGUCGUCUACUGAAGCUAAGCAGGUCUAUGUCUGGUCAGUACCUGGAUGGAAGACCACAUGGGAAUACUAGGUUGCUGCCGAAA